rnacentral:misc_RNA from 1 species
AGCAAUCGAGAUCGAGAUGGAGGUGGCGAGAGGCGGCGGGAAGCUGAACCCGUGGGCGGAGCCCUUCGUGCCGGCGGGCUGGUCGGCCACCUACUGGCGCUGCGGCGGCGUCGCUGCCGUGGAGCCGGCUGUGGCCGAGGUGGAGGACUUCUCCCCGGAGUGGUGGCGCCUCGUCGGCUCCUCCCCGGCCUUCCGCGACCGCUGGCUCCGGGACUACUCCGCGCUGGGCCUCCUCGACGACAACGACAACGGCGACGGCUACGACCUCGAGGGGUUCCUCCUCCCCGACGACCUCUUCUCCUCCACCCCUCAUCUGGUGGGAGAACCGGCGGAUGAGAAGGAGGGCAAGGGUUUCGGCGGCGCCGGGGGGAAGAAGGUGAAGGGCG